UUGCAUCAGCACCAUAUUAGAGAGAGAGAGGGAGGCAGCGGAUCGUCACAAGCAUCCCGGAUUUGCCUCCUCCGUCGACGGUCCGCAGCCGAACAGCGAGCCGGGAACUCGGCUACAUCUUCCCCUCAGUGAUGGAGAGCCUUCUGGAUAACCCGAUGAAAGCCGUCUUGUACCUGAAGGAGCUCACCACCAUCGUGCAGAACCAGCAGAGCCUCAUCCAGACGCAGCGGCAGCGCAUCGACGAACUCGAGCGGAAGGUGGAGGACCUGAUCGGCGAGAACCGGCAGCUACGGGAUCCCCAUCAGUACGUGCAGCAGCAGCAGAACCAGCAGCACCAGAACCAGCAGCAGCACCACCACCACCCGCCGGCUCCGCAGGCGCACGCCCACCCGCAUCAGCACCACCAAAGCGGCGGCACCAAGGCUGCGGCGCACGCCGGCCAGCAGGCUCACCAUCAUCAUCAUCAGCAUCAGCAUCAUCAUCACCAACAGCAGCAGCAGCAGCCUCAGCAUCAGCAACAUCCCACCCCUCCUGCUCCGGCCCCCCACCACCCGCAGCAGCUCCAGCUGGUGCCCACCUCGCCACAGUCCCCCCAAGCUACCCAAGCCAGUCCGGACCCCACCGAGGAGGGCAAGAGGAACCCCUGCUGCAAGUCGCUGGUCCCGCAGACCCCCACCACGCUGUGCCGCUCGGUUGGACUGUCCAGGAAAACAGACAACCAAACCGUGCUGCAUCAGUUCUGCUGCCCAGCCCCGGAUGCCCCUGAGGGGGAGUCCUCUUCCGCUUGUGUCCCCAGCGACGACCUUUCUCCAGACCCGUCAGUCGGGGAGGAAGGGAAGGGAGGAGAGGGGGAGCUGCAGAGUGAGGCCCAGUCACAACCACGGCCCCAGGAGACUCCGCCCCCGCAGCCUCAGUGCGAACCGCAACCGCCGCCGCCUGAAACCGAACCCGAAUCAAAACCCGAAGCGGAAGCCGAGCCCGAAGUUGAAGCCUCGGGCGGGGAGGAAGCGCCGGAAGUUGGAUCCCCCCCCGGUGGCGGGGAGGAAGAACGCACGGAUGAGGAGGAAGCAAAGGAAAAGCAGGAAGCAGAGGAUGAUCAGGAUAAAGAAGUAGAAGAAGAAGAAGAAGAUGAGGAGGAGGAAGAAGGGGGAGGAGCUAAAGGAGGCGGGACGGCGAGGAGGGCCAGCCUUCACCACACCGCCUCGCCUCUGAGGGUGCAGCGCAACGGGGCCGGCUCCCACUCGGCCACUUCCGACUAUGAGCUCUCGCUCGACCUCAAAAACAAGCAGAUCGAAAUGUUAGAGCACAAAUACGGCGGCCACCUCAUUUCCCGUCGCGCCGCCUGCAAGAUCCAGACCGCCUUCCGCCAGUACCAGCUCAGCAAGAACUUUGAGAAGAUCCGCAACUCCCUGCUGGAGAGUCGCCUGCCGCGCCGCAUCUCCCUGCGCAAGGUGCGCGUGCAGAACACCGAGGGCUUCUCGGCUGAACGGGCGCUGGCAGAAGGCUGCAACGUGGCGGGCAUCCCCCUGGUGAGGUCGCCGUCGCUGCCCACCACGGUGGGCGGCUCCCUCACCGACCUGGAAGACUCUUUCACCGAGCAGGUGCAGUCGCUGGCAAAGUCCAUCGACGACGCGCUCAGCAACUGGAGCUUGAAGACCAUGUGCUCGCUGCAAGAGGGCGGAGCUUAUCAGUUCAACGCAGCCGCGGGGGGAGGCGAGGGAGAGUCGGGCGUUCAUCAAGGCCCGGUGGACCCGAGCGAUCUGUCAAAAAGUGCGAGCAAGCUCAUGAUGGCGUUCCGGGAUGUGACGGUCCAGAUCGACAGCCAGAACUUCCGGGUUUCGUCUUCCGUCGUGGAGUCGUCCACUUCCGUCACGCUGGGAAGCUGCACUCAGCAAGACGGAGCUUCCAUCACAGCAAACUCCGCCCCCAUUUCCGAGCCCUCACUGGAAACACCUGCCCCCCCAGCCGCCGACCCCAUAGAGCCCCCGCCGCCCCCGCUAGAGAACCCGCCUCCCCCGGAAAUAGACUCGGAUACAUGUGAUCAGGACGUUGAGUUCCCCGCUCCGCCGCCGAGCGAGGAAGAGCUCACGGGGGACGACCUGCCGCCCUUGACCCCCGUGGAAAAAACAGCUCCCCAGCCGCUCGCCGACGAGGUCGCGUUGGCGGCGCCGCCCCCGUCGGAGACCCCGAAACCUCCCCCGGCCGUCUCCGAGCCGCUGGAAGUCAAGCGUAGCGGCUCGGAGACGGCCGACAACAGCUCGGAACAGAUGAGCAGCAGCAGCGCUUCCACGGAGGCCCGCUCCACGUCGGAGGCCUCCUCCAAGGAGGCGCUGCAGGCCAUGAUCCUCAGCCUGCCGCGCUACCACUGCGAGAACCCCGCCAGCUGCAAGUCGCCCACGCUGUCCACCGACGUCAUGAGGAAACGCCUCUACCGCAUCGGACUCAACCUCUUCAACGUGAAUCCCGACAAGGGACUCCAGUUCCUGAUCUCGCGAGGCUUCAUCCCUGACACCCCCAUUGGUGUGGCCCACUUCCUGCUGCAGAGGAAAGGUCUGAGUCGGCAGAUGAUCGGGGAGUUCCUGGGCAACAGCAAGAAGCCCUUCAACAGGGAUGUUCUCGACUGCGUGGUGGACGAGAUGGAUUUUUCCGGCAUGGAGCUGGACGACGCGCUGAGGAAGUUCCAGGCCCACAUUCGAGUCCAGGGGGAGGCGCAGAAAGUGGAGCGUCUCAUUGAGGCCUUCAGCCAGCGCUACUGCAUGUGCAACCCCGACGUGGUGCAGCAGUUCCACAACCCGGACACCAUCUUCAUCCUGGCUUUCGCCAUCAUCCUCCUCAACACGGACAUGUACAGCCCCAACAUCAAGCCCGACCGCAAGAUGCUGCUGGAGGACUUCAUACGCAACCUUCGAGGCGUUGACGACGGAGCGGACAUCCCUCGCGACAUGGUGGUGGGCAUCUACGAGAGGAUACAGAUGAGAGAGCUGCGCUCCAACGAGGACCACGUCACCUACGUCUCCAAGGUGGAACAGUCCAUUGUCGGCAUGAAAACGGUUCUCUCGGUGCCUCACAGAAGACUGGUGUGCUGCAGUCGUCUCUUUGAGGUGACGGACGUCAGCAAGGCCCAGAAGCAGGCGGCGCACCAGCGAGAAGUCUUCCUCUUCAACGAUCUCAUUGUGAUACUGAAGCUUUGUCCAAAGAAGAAGAGUUCAGCAGCCUACACGUUCUGCAAAGCCCUGGGACUUCUUGGCAUGCAGUUCCACCUGUUUGAGAACGAAUAUUACCCUCACGGCAUCACCAUCCUCUCGCCGUUUGGCUCCGACAAGAAGCAGGUGCUCAACUUCUGCGCCCAGAGUGCAGAGGAGCUGCUCAAGUUCGUGGAAGACCUCAAGGAGUCCAUCGCUGAGGUGUCGGAGAUGGAGCAGAUACGCAUUGAGUGGGAGCUGGAGAAGCAGCAGGGGUCCAAGGCGCACUCGAUAAACAACGGCACACAACUGGAACUACGCGGCAAACAUGGCGGCACGUCAACAGGAAUCCAGGAAGGCGAGGACAUCGGCGGACACAAUGCAGUCGAGGUGUCAAUUCACAACAGGCUUCAGACGUACCAGCUCAGCACGAGUCCCGAGAGCGCGGCCCUUCUUAACCACCGGGGGGAGCUGCUCUUCCACCCGGGGCUAACCCAGGGCCCGGCGGCGCCUCCACCUCAACAUCUGCAGCUGCGCUCGGCGGCCAGCACCCCCGCCCACCGGCCAUACCCCCAGCCGCCGCCGCCGCCAUUGCCGCAUCCGCCGCCGGCCGCCAGCAUGGCCGAUCUGCGGCCCGAGACGCUCAUCCAGUGUCAGCAGAUCGUCAAGGUCAUCAUGCUGGACAACAGCGGCCACGCCCGCAUGGAGGCCUUCCUCAGCCACGCGCCUGCCCACCCGCUCCACCACCACCACCACCACCACCUCCACCACCAGCAUUACCAGCUCAGCCAGUCGGCCACGUCCACGCCGCUUCGCUCGCCCGACAACUCGCACGGCGGCGGGGGUGACGGCCACCAGCCCCCGCUCCCCCCACCGCCGCCGCCGUACAACCACCCGCACCAGUACAUCCCCCCUGACCCCCGCCUCAGUCUACAUCGGACCCCGAGUGGCUCUCGGAGCAUGGUGUAAAUAGAAUCACUGUCCAUCAUGUACAUACAGAUGAUAGAUAGAUAUAUGGAUGGAUGGAUGGAUGGAUGGAUGGAUAUAUGGAAAAUGGAUGGAUGGAUGAAUGGAUGGAUGGAUGAAUAGAUGGAUGGAUAGAUGGAUGGAUAGACAGAUGGAUGGAUGAAUGCAUGGAUGAAUGGAUGGAUGAAUGGAUAGAUGGAUGGAUGGAUGGGUGAAUGGAUGGAUGAUAGAUGGAUGGAUGGAUGGAUGGGUGAUAGAUCGAUAAAUAGACGGAUGGAUGGGAGGAUAGAUGGAUGGAUGGAAAAUGGAUGGAUAGAUGGAUAGAUAGAUGAUAGACAGAUGGAUGGAUGGAUGAUAGAUAGACGGAUGGAUGGGUGGAGGAUAGAUGGUUGAUGGAUAGAUGGAUGAGUGCAUGGAUGGACGGAUGGAUGGAUGGAUGGAUAGAUGGAUGGAUGAACAGAUAGAUGGAUGGAUGAAUGGAUGGACAGAUGGAUAGAAUGGAUGGAUGGACGGAUAGAUGAUAGAUAGAUGGAUGGAUAAACAGAUGGAUGGAUGGAUGAUAGAUUGAUGGAUGGAUAGACGGAUGGAUGGGUGGAGGAUGGAUGGAUGGAUAGAUGGUUGAUGGAUAGAUGGAUGAGUGGAUGUAUAGAUGGAUGGAUGGACGGACGGAUGGAUGGAUGGAUGGACGGAUAGAUGGAUGGAUGGAUGAACAGAUAGAUGGAUGGAUGAAUGGAUGGACAGACAGAUGGAUAGAAUUAAUGGAUGGACGGAUAGAUGAUAGAUAGAUGGAUGAUAGACAGAUGGAUGGAUGGAUGAUAGAUAGAUGGAUGGAUGGAUAGACGGAUGGAUGGGUGGAGGAUGGAUGGAUGGAUAGAUGGUUGAUGGAUAGAUGGAUGGAUGGAUGGAUGAACAGAUAGAUGGAUGGAUAGGAUGGAUGGACAGAUGGAUAGGAUGGAUGGAGGAAUGGAUGGAUGGACGGAUGGAUAGUGGAUGGAUGGAUGGAUGAAUGAUAGAUAUAUGAAUGGAUGGACAAAUCACACUUCUAUGCUUCUAUUUAGGCAUAUACGCUUAGAUGACCAUUUUAAAGAAAGAAGAAGAAACAUGGAGCAUAUACGUACGUACAUACAUACGUACAUACAUAGGACAUAGGACUUUACUUGACUACACGUGGAUUUUCAAAACACGUUUUUAGAACUAUUUGCCACUUUUAACUCUCGCUUAUUAAAAGGCAGCAGACCAGGACGCAGGAGAAGAUAAUAACACCAUCCUCCCUUCCUUCCCUCCCUCUCUUCCUUCCUUCCUCCCUCUCUUUCCCUUCCUCCCUUCAUCCUCAUCGAUGACUCUUGUGCCAAAAAUAUCAACAAAAAAAGCCUCCACUUGAAUAAAAAGAAAGCUUGAUUGUCGCUAGGGCUCCAGAAGAGAAGACUAUGUCCUUGCUCCUCAAGGGAUGGAUUUAUUUAUGACCAACGGAUUGACAACCGUUUGCUUCCAUGCAAAUUCAGGAGGACAACACAUCUCUCCAACACGCUUGCAGGAGGAACUUUGAUCUUACGGAGACUCACUGUGGCCGCCAUGUUUCUCUUGCUUUUCUUCUCCGGCUCUUUUUGGUUUUUUCUUUGCUGUCCACUUUUGUCUGCGUGUUAUCUUCCUCAAUCUGCAGCCGUGCUUAGCUUUUGGUCUGACAUUCAUCCCAAAAGCUUGGAAAAAAUACCAACACCAGCUUGUUGUCGCAGCUGAGCUAUUUCUGUUUUGUAAAUAUCACAGGCCUCCUUUAGCUAGCCUCUUGAUAAUCACACGGAAAUGAUCACUCCCUUCCAGACCCGACUAGUCAACUCAAAUGACAGUUUGACGUUAUUAGUAAUGUCUUGAGUGUUCCAAUUGGGUUAACCCCAACCAGAAAAGCAGCUUCCAGACCUGACUAGUCAACGUAAUUUACAUUUUUACAAAUGUGAUGAUUAUUUCAGUCAAUUUGCAUAACCCCUCCCUCACGAAAAUGUGCAUCCAAACCCGACUAGUCAUCUUAAUUUACAUUAUUGCAAGUGUGAUGAUUAUUUCAGUCAAUUUGCAUAACCUCUCCCGAUAGGCAGCUGCCAGACCCGACUAGUCAACUUAAUUUAAAUUAUUAUAACUAUAUAAAUUAUGACUAUUUCAGUCAAUUUGCAUAGGCCCUCCCUCCCAAAAAGCAGCUCCCAGACCCGACUAGUCAACUUAAUUUACAUUAUUAGAAAUGUGAUGAUUAUUUCAGUCAAUUUGCAUAAUCCCUGUCUCCUGAAAAGCAGCUUCCAGACCCGACUAGUCAACUUAAUUUACAUUAUUAUUACCCCUCCCUCCCGAAAAGCAGCUUCCAGACCCGACUAGUCAACUUAAUUUACAUUAUUAUUACCCCUCCCUCCAGAAAAGCAGCUUCCAAACCCGACUAGUCAACUUAAUUUACAUUAUUAUUACCCCUCCCUCCUGAAAAAGCAGCCUCCAGACCCAACUAGUCAACUUAAUUUACAUAAUUAAAAAUUUAAUGAUUAUUUCAGUCGAUUUGCAUAACCCUUCCCUCCUGAAAAGCAGCUUCCAGACCUGACUAGUCAACUUAAUUUACAUUAUACCCCUCCCUCCUGAAAAGCAGCUUCCAGACCCGACUAGUCAACGUAAUUUACAUUUUUACAAAUGUGAUGUCAGUCAAUUUGCAUAACCCCUCCCUCCCGAAAAGCAGCUUCCAAACCCGACUAGUCAACUUAAUUUACAUAAUCAGAAAUGUGAUGACUUUCAGUCAAUUUGCAUAACCCCUCCCUCCUUAAAAGCCACUUCCAGACCCGACUAGUCAACUUAAUUUACAUUAUCAGAAAUGUGAUGAUUAUUUCAGUCAAUUUGCAUAACCCCUCCCUCCUUAAAAGCCGCUUCCAGACCCGACUAGUCAACUUAAUUUACAUUAUUAGAAAUGUGAUGAUUAUUUCAGUCAAUUUGCAUAACCCUUCCCUCCCUCCCUCCCUCCCGAAAAGCAGCUUCCAGACCCGACUAGUCAACUUAAAUGACGCCACGAUUAUUCCAGUCAAUUUGUGGUUUGGACACACCCGUCCUCCACCAGUCCCGCCUAGUUCGUGUAAAAUAACAAGUUUUGUUUUUUUUUUAAAAUAACAAACGCACCCCAAGCGAAAACAUAGGCAGAUGAUUUAUUAUGGGAUUUAUUUGUACUUAUUGGCUUGAUAAACAUUACAAUAUGAAGUUUGUUGGCUUUGCAUGUUAUCCCAGAGUAUGUUUUUGUGCAUGAUUGAAUCAAGUGUGAGCACAUGAAGGCUGAAGCCAUUUGAAAAAAAAGAUAUUAUUAUUCUAACCCCCCCCCCAGUCAAACAAAUACACUGACAGUAGGAUGCACAGUGGCUAAUAUCUGCUUUUUUUCUCCCCCGUUCAGUCGCCUUUUUGCUUUUUUUCCGGAAAUGCUUUACUCGUGUGUGUAUGUGCGUGUGUGCGUUGAGGGGACGUAAGCACGGCAACCAAUGUAGCAUUUCGGGAGUCCCGUGAGUGGCGGACCUUCACAUACAGGACACUGACCAAAGGGCUGUCCCAUACAAAUGCACUGCUUCAUGAAUGACUCCGAAAAUGUUCGGGAAUGUUGAUGUAAAGGGAAAAAAAAACACAUUCAUGAUAGUGGGAAGUGGGAAAAGGGAGUGUGAGAGAAAUGCACCAUCACUUCCCACAGUCAAAUUCCACCCUUUGACCUGUCUCUGCAGUAUAUCAACAUGCUAUUAAAUAGGAUUCCAGUCCAUCCAGCGCUAUGUUGUGUUGCUUUAAACGCCCCUUUUCCUGCAGCUUUAACACCACAAAGCAUUCCCAGAUGUUUUUUUUUUUUUUUUAUACACAUUUUAGUUCAUGCAUAUGCAGUACAAGGUACAGGAAUAAAAAUACCUCUUACGGUUUCAUUCAAAGUACACUUGUUGCAGUUCUUGACAAAAAGCUAACUUCAGAAAAAAACUGCAUUUUUUUUCACACUACUUCAUUUAUCGCGAUACCAUGUUUGCUUUAAACAAUAUCCUUGCUAAAAAUAAUCAAAAUAUUAUUUAGUAACACAGUAUAAGCAGCAUAUAUUUACAUUUUUCUAAUUGUUUUUGUGUUUUGUUCAUUAUGUAAACAAAAAUAAGACACAUAACUGACACUGAAAGAUUAAACAGAGGUUAAAGGUGAAUAUUUUCCAGGAGGGUUGCGGUUCUAGACGGGAGCUUCGCCAACAAUUUGAGUGAAAAGGUCAUGACCUGAUGGUUUGUCGUCCUGCUGGGAUGUUGUCAUCCUCUUCCAGCGCUGAAGGUAAAAAGAUAAACGUAUUUUUGUACCACCUGACAUGACAUCUUUUUGUUUUUUCAUUCAUCGGCAUGUGCAUGACAACAACAACGACGACGACGACGAUGCUAACCUGCUUGACGCUACCCGGCGUUCUGCAGAACAUGUAGAUGACGUAACCCGGGAUGAGAACCAUGGAGGACAUUGCCAUGAACCAGCCGAUGGUUUGGCCCCACAGCGGGUACACGUACUUGCCCAGGGUCAGGGGCGUCAUCUCCACGGCGCUGAAGAGACGAGCGGUCGUAACCGGCCGAGAUGGUUCCUACCGUACAACCAGGCGAUGGAGACCGUCUCGAAGAAGACCAGGAAGAGGAGACACAUCCCGCUGGCUGAGUAGUAGUCGAAGAGCUUGAAGACGUACAGGCCGCCCUGGAAGACGCACGCCACGUCAGUUUGUCAUCACGUGGGUGACGGCAGAUGCUGACACACCUGUGUGAUGUUGGAGAACCCGAUGAUGAAGGAGAUGAAGCAGACCAUGAGGAUGAAGCUCUUCUUCCUCUUCCUCAGCAGUAAGGGGUACUCGUCCAUGAGAGCUGUGAUGAAGCCUUCCACCGUGCAGAACUGAUUGGACAAUCACAAUGGCUUUGUCUGCAGAGCCAGGCUAGGCUAAGCUAGGCUAGGCUAGGCUAAGCUGCCUUCAUUCAGUGUUAUUGCUAGCUUUCCUUACUUAAAUAGCGGAAAAUAAACAUGUUAUAUUUCUAUUUG